rnacentral:rRNA from 1 species
UGGGGAAUUUUGGACAAUGGGGGAAACCCUGAUCCAGCCAUCCCGCGUGUGCGAUGAAGGCCUUCGCGUUGUAAAGUACUUUUCUCAGGAAAGAAACGCCAUGGGUUAAUACCUCGUGAAACUGACGGCACCUGCAGAAUAAGCACCGGCCAACUACGUGCCAGCAGCCGCGGCAAUACGUGGGGUGCAAGCGCUAAUCGGAAUUACUGGGCGUAAAGCGUGCGCAGGCGGGUCGGAAAGAAAGAUAUGAAAUCCCAGAGCUCAACUUUGGAAGUUCAUUUGUAACUACCGGGGUAGAGUGUGUGAGAGGGAGGUGGAAUUCCGCGUGUAGCAGUGACAUGCGUAGAUAUGCGGAGGACCGCCGAUAGAGAAGGCAGCCGCCUGGGAUAACACUGACGCUCAUGCACGAAAGCGUGGGGAGCAAACAGGA